rnacentral:rRNA from 1 species
CAUGCAGUCGAGGGGUAGAAAUAGCUUGCUAUUUUGAGACCGGCGCACGGGUGCGUAACGCGUAUGCAAUCUGCCUUGUACUGGGGGAUAGCCCGGAGAAAUCCGGAUUAAUACCCCAUAGUAUAUAAGAGUGGCAUCAUUUUUAUAUUAAAGAAUUUCGGUACAAGAUGAGCAUGCGUCCCAUUAGCUAGUUGGUAUGGUAACGGCAUACCAAGGCUUUGAUGGGUAGGGGUCCUGAGAGGGAGAUCCCCCACACUGGUACUGAGACACGGACCAGACUCCUACGGGAGGCAGCAGUGAGGAAUAUUGGUCAAUGGACGCAAGUCUGAACCAGCCAUGCCGCGUGCAGGAUGACGGUCCUAUGGAUUGUAAACUGCUUUUGUACGGGAAGAAACGACUCUACGUGUAGAGUUUUGACGGUACCGUAAGAAUAAGGAUCGGCUAACUCCGUGCCAGCAGCCGCGGUAAUACGGAGGAUCCAAGCGUUAUCCGGAAUCAUUGGGUUUAAAGGGUCCGUAGGCGGUUUUAUAAGUCAGUGGUGAAAUCCGGCAGCUCAACUGUCGAACUGCCAUUGAUACUGUAGAACUUGAAUUAUUGUGAAGUAACUAGAAUAUGUAGUGUAGCGGUGAAAUGCUUAGAUAUUACAUGGAAUACCAAUUGCGAAGGCAGGUUACUAACAAUAGAUUGACGCUGAUGGACGAAAGCGUGGGGAGCGAACAGGAUUAGAUACCCUGGUAGUCCACGCCGUAAACGAUGGAUACUAGCUGUUCGGAAGCAAUUCUGAGUGGCUAAGCGAAAGUGAUAAGUAUCCCACCUGGGGAGUACGAACGCAAGUUUGAAACUCAAAGGAAUUGACGGGGGCCCGCACAAGCGGUGGAGCAUGUGGUUUAAUUCGAUGAUACGCGAGGAACCUUACCAGGGCUUAAAUGUAGAGUGACAGGACUGGAAACAGUUUUUUCUUCGGACACUUUACAAGGUGCUGCAUGGUUGUCGUCAGCUCGUGCCGUGAGGUGUCAGGUUAAGUCCUAUAACGAGCGCAACCCCUGUUGUUAGUUGCCAUCGAGUAAUGUCGGGAACUCUAACAAGACUGCCGGUGCAAACCGCGAGGAAGGUGGGGAUGACGUCAAAUCAUCMCGGCCCUUACGUCCUGGGCUAMMMACGUGCUACAAUGGCCGGUACRAAGAGNAGCCACCUGGUGAMAGGGAGCGAA